rnacentral:rRNA from 1 species
GAUGAACGCUGGCGGCGUGCCUAAUACAUGCAAGUCGAGCGAACAGACGAGGAGCUUGCUCCUCUGACGUUAGCAGCGGACGGGUGAGUAACACGUGGAUAACCUACCUAUAAGACUGGGAUAACUUCGGGAAACCGGAGCUAAUACCGGAUAAUAUAUUGAACCGCAUGGUUCAAUAGUGAAAGACGGUUUUGCUGUCACUUAUAGAUGGAUCCGCGCCGCAUUAGCUAGUUGGUAAGGUAACGGCUUACCAAGGCAACGAUGCGUAGCCGACCUGAGAGGGGGAUCGGCCACACUGAAACUGAGACACGGCCCAGACUCCUACGGGAGGCAGCAGUAGGGAAUCUUGCGCAAGGGGCGAAAGCCUGACGGAGCAACGCCGCGUGAGUGAUGAAGGUCUUCGGAUCGUAAAACUCUGUUAUUAGGGAAGAACAAAUGUGUAAGUAACUAUGCACGUCUUGACGGUACCUAAUCAGAAAGCCACGGCUAACUACGU